CACCGCGGUUAUACGAGAGGCCCAAGCUAACAGUCCCUCGGCGUAAAGAGUGGUUAGAAUAUGAUUAAACUAAAGCCGAAUAUCUCCACAACUGUCAUACGUACUUGGAGAUUAGAAGAACCCCUACGAAAGUGGCUUUAUCCUUUUGAAUCCACGGAAGCUAUGGCA
rnacentral:rRNA from 1 species